rnacentral:rRNA from 1 species
GGGCCCGCACAAGCGGUGGAGUAUGUGGUUUAAUUCGAUGCAACGCGAAGAACCUUACCAGGGUUUGACAUCCUGCGAAUCUCUUGGAAACGAGAGAGUGCCUUCGGGAACGCAGUGACAGGUGGUGCAUGGCUGUCGUCAGCUCGUGUCGUGAGAUGUUGGGUUAAGUCCCGCAACGAGCGCAACCCACGUCUUUAGUUGCCAGCAUUUAGUUGGGCACUCUAGAGAGACCGCCGGUGAUAAACCGGAGGAAGGUGUGGAUGACGUCAAGUCAUCAUGCCCCUUACGACCAGGGCUACACACGUGCUACAAUGGUAGGUACAGAGGGCAGCUACACAGCGAUGUGAUGUGAAUCUCAAAAAGCCUAUCGUAGUCCAGAUUGGAGUCUGCAACUCGACUCCAUGAAGUAGGAAUCGCUAGUAAUCG